UAAUUAUCGUGUUUCAAACGUAACCAUUAACCGUGCUCAUGAGUAAGGACAUUUCUCGAGUUCGAAACUAUCAGCAUCCCCAUAUUUAAAACAUAUAAGCUCGUUGCUGAAGGUCAAGCCUGGCAUGAGACCUCUUUUCUUCAGCCAGAAGAUGGAUGCAAAACUACCAGAGAAGAAAAUGCCUUCAACUGCAGCAAAGGCAACAAUACGCUCGCCAAACGUAGCGGAUUUGCUUGCGAUCCACUGCAGUGCCCAGUCAGCCUUCUUCUUCACGCAUGGCAGAGUCUCAAUAGCGUUGAACAGGAAAUCCCUAAAUUUAAAUUGGUCAUACAUUUUUUGCCUUUAAAGAUUCUAGUAUACAUAGUAAUAAUCAAAUAAUAUUUAAUAUUUAUCAAAAACAAGGCAUGCUGUGGUUGGCUAUAAAUGUAAGAACAGUUAGAUCUAAUCUACCAGUGUAUUGUAUUGAAAUUUUUAGCUGUAUCUUAUAUUGGUAAUCCUAUUAAUAAAUAAAUACAGCUAUGAUUUAUUUAUUGUUAAGUAUUAAUGUUCUAAUUUCAACCAACUUUAAAAAAGAGGCUCUAAAUUCAGUUGUAUUUUUUUUGUGUGCUGUUAUUUCAUUACUUAGUAGUAAAAUGAUUUGGAAGUUGUUUUUUAUCUGAAAUGAUUUACUUACAAAUUGAACCCAUAGAAAUUUUAUCAAAAUCAGUUCAGUAUUUUAGUUUUUAAAUCAAAAUAACUGGUUUCACCAUAAUUAAAGUCAGUUUUUUUUAGUAGAACACAAUCUUCAACUAUCAUCUAAGGCAUUCAAAGAGAGGAGAGAGAGAGGGGGGAGGGUGUCUUGUCCAACUCAAGAUGCAAACAGAGCUCCUAGCUAUAUGCAAAGACAUGUCUGAGAAUACAUAAUUGUCUUACAGGACCAGCUCCCCUGGUAAAUAAUUAUAGAAACACCAACAUCUAUAUAAUCCCUAUAUAAAAAGUAUGAAGUACCUAAGAAUGUGAAUAAAAUUCUGAGGGUAAACCAUACAUAACAUACAAAAAUUAUUGCACAACAUGUUAUGUAGGUUGAGUCAUUGAAUGUGGUUGGUAAUAUCGUCAUAUUCAUUGGUUCCUGUUAGUACAAGAUAUGAACACUAAAUAUAGAAGGCAAUGGGUAGUUAUAAAUAUUUCUAUAGUCUGCUCAUUGUUUUGCAUAUCAAAUAGGCAUUGUGGGUGGUAUUUGUGCCUCCAAUUAGAAACAAUGCAAUAGUCAUUUAGGUAUUUUAAUCAAUAGUCCAUUAUGAUUUGCUAGCAAUUCCAUGAAUCAAGCUCGAGUUAAAACUAUUGUAUUCAAACAUUGUUGAUUUCCAAUGAAAUAAAACAUUGUUCAACGAUUCCAUCAUUUAAAGAUAUCAUAUCUACCUUGGUAAUCAUUAUUGUAAGAACAUAACUAAAUAUGGAAAUAGAUUAGCUAUCUUUUUUGUUUUUGUAUAAAUUAUAUAAACAUUCUUAAAUUCUAAAAACUGCACCCUAAAUAUAUAAAACUAAUAUGUUAAGAUAAUAUGUAAAAUUAUUAAAUUAUGUUUUCAAUUCCAA